GAUGAACGCUGGCGGCGUGCCUAAUACAUGCAAGUCGAGCGAACGGACGAGAAGCUUGCUUCUCUGAUGUUAGCGGCGGACGGGUGAGUAACACGUGGAUAACCUACCUAUAAGACUGGGAUAACUUCGGGAAACCGGAGCUAAUACCGGAUAAUAUUUUGAACCGCAUGGUUCAAAAGUGAAAGACGGUCUUGCUGUCACUUAUAGAUGGAUCCGCGCUGCAUUAGCUAGUUGGUAAGGUAACGGCUUACCAAGGCAACGAUGCAUAGCCGACCUGAGAGAGUGAUCGGCCACACUGGAACUGAGACACGGUCCAGACUCCUACGGUAGGCAGCAGUAGGGAAUCUUCCGCAAUGGGCGAAAGCCUGACGGAGCAACGCCGCGUGAGUGAUGAAGGUCUUCGGAUCGUAAAACUCUGUUAUUAGGGAAGAACAUAUGUGUAAGUAACUGUGCACAUCUUGACGGUACCUAAUCAGAAAGCCACGGCUAACUACGUG
rnacentral:rRNA from 1 species